rnacentral:hammerhead_ribozyme from 1 species
AUCCAGUUGAAGAGCCCCAAAUAGGACGAAACGUGCGUCCUGGGU